rnacentral:rRNA from 1 species
AUUGAACGCUGGCGGUAUGCUUUACACAUGCAAGUCGAACGGUAACACGGCUACAGCUUCUUACUACGGGCGGAGAGUGGCGGAAUGCUGCGGAAUACAUCGAAAUGUACGUUUUAAUGCGGGGAAACGUAGGGUAAUACACCCUGAUACCGCAUAAGGAAUACGGGUGACAGCACGGCAACUUUGGACCUCGCGCCAUUGAAUCAGCCGAUGUCGGAUUAGCUAGUUGGCGGGGUAAAGGCCCACCAAGGCGACGAUCCGUAGCUGGUCUGAGAGGAUGAUCAGCCACACUGGAACUGAGACACGGUCCAGACUCCUACGGGAGGCAGCAGUGGGGAAUUUUGGACAAUGGGCGCAAGCCUGAUCCAGCCAUGCCGCGUGGGUGAAGAAGGCCUUCGGGUUGUAAAGCGCUUUUGGUAGGAAAGAAAAGCUGCAGGUUAAUACCCCGCGCUAAUGACGGUACCUAAAGAAUAAGCACCGGCUAACUUCGUG